rnacentral:rRNA from 1 species
AACCCUGAUGCAGCUAUACCGUGUGUGUGAAGAAGGCCUUAGGGUUGUAAAGCACUUUCAAUGGGGAAGAAUUUAAUAUUGCUAAUAUCGAUAUUAGUUGACGUUACCUAUAUAAGAAGCACCGGCUAACUCCGUGCCAGCAGCCGCGGUAAUACGGAGGGUGCAAGCGUUAAUCGGAAUCACUGGGCGUAAAGAGUACGUAGGUGGUUUGUUAAGUCAGAUGUGAAAUCCCUGAGCUUAACUUAGGAACUGCAUUUGAAACUAAUAAACUAGAGUUUCGUAGAGGGGGGUAGAAUUCCAGGUGUAGCGGUGAAAUGCGUAGAGAUCUGGAGGAAUACCAGUGGCGAAGGCGACCCCCUGGACGGAAACUGACACUCAGGUACGAAAGCAUGGGGAGCAAACAGGAUUAGAUACCCUGGUAGUCCAUGCCGUAAACGAUGUCGAUUUGAA